rnacentral:tRNA from 1 species
GGACAGAUAGCUCAGUUGGUAGAGCAAAGGACUGAAAAUCCUUGUGUCGUGGGUUCGACUCCCUCUCUGUCCACCA